rnacentral:lncRNA from 1 species
GUACUCCGUACUCAUAAGUUGUUUUCAAUAAUGGAGCUUCUGAAUCGACGAUCCACUCCGUUAAAUAUGAUCUAGAGUAUUUUAAACUUUUAGAAAACAAAUUUUGUAAUUUUUCGAAAUCAUAAUAAAGUUCAUCAAGCGAGUAUAAAAUGAACAGUCAAAAUCGAACGACGUGCUAAAAAUGGAUGAUCGGAUCCUUCAAUUUAAGAUCGGAGUUAUUGAUCUUUAUCCAGGUAGUGAAUAGAAUUUUCUAUAAAAUAUUCAACCUAUUCCGAUUCUUUUACACCGUUAAACUAGCAAGUAUCCCAUACCGGCCGUUAAAAAUUGCCAAUUUUGUGACCUUUUGAUCGUAAGGUAAAUGAUAUAAAAUUUGAUUUCUCGUCGUUUUAAAUGCUCUAGAUAACGUUUAACGGUGUGGAUCGUCGAUUCGGAAGCUCAAUUAUGGAAAACAACUUAUGAGUACGAGGGCGAUCAUUUUGAAGUUACUCGUUCACUAGGCAAACAAAGUCAAAAAAUUAUGAAAUUUUGUUUCUAGAUAGUUCAAAUAGCAUAGAUCAUAUUUAACGGAACCGAUCGCCAAAUCAGAAGUCCCAUCAUCGAAAACAAAUUACAAGUACGGAGGCCUCCGUACUUUCGAAAGCAUCGGAGCCUAACUAUAUAUAUAUAUAUAUAUAUAUAUAUAUAUAUAUAUAUAUAUAGGGUCCGGCUACUAUACUAUUAUGAGUACGAUCGCCCUCAUACUCAUAAGUUGUUUUCGAUGAUAGAGCUUCCGAAUCGACGAUCCACACCGUUAAACAUUAUUUACAGCAUUUAAAACUUCUAGAAAUCAAAUUUUAUAAUUUUUCGACAUCAUUUACCUUAN